AACGAAUCUCCAAAUAUGUCGAGUGACAAGAAAGCUGGAAAAUCCUCGAUCAGAGGUGGAAAAUCUAACGAAGAAAUAUUCGCCGGUUUUCAAACUCUGCGUAACGAGCAGAGGGUGAUGGCAAAUAAGCUGUCAGAAAUGGAAAUGGAGAUGAACGAGCAUAAGAUCGUUAUCGACACUUUGAAAAAUGUCGAUCCCUCCCGAAAAUGCUACAGAAUGAUCGGCGGCAUUUUGUGUGAACGUACAGUCCAGGAAAUCACGCCAACGUUAAUAUCCAACAAAGAGCAGUUAGCCAAGGUGAUAGAUGCACUGAACGUGCAGCUCGCAAAGAAGGGGCAUGAAAUAAACGAGUAUAAAGAAAAACACAACAUUAGAAUUCGUGGUCAGGAUGAACUGCAACAACCGGAAGAAGAUGACGCGAAACAAGCCAAGAGAAAUGCAAUAGUUGUUAACCCAAUCGAAGUCUGAUGCUAAUAAUUAUAUUCUGAUCUUAACAUAACUUCCCAUACUGUUCUUUUCUGAACUCAACGUGUAUUAUUAUUUUUUAUUGGAUAUAAAGAAAGAGAAAAAUCUAAUUCAGAUGUUUGCUAACGAGUUUAUCAAAUUAGUUUGUGGGUUCUUUUCCAAAUAUUUUUAUAUUACCGUUCGGUUGUAUUUGGAAACCCAAAUUACACAUUUCAAAAUAUUGUCCAGCACUUUUAAUUGCGUAAUUUUCAUAAUCUAUACAAUGUACAUAAUAACAUGAGAGACAGUGAAAAUUUUUACAUAGUAUUACAGGCUAGCUGAGACGUGUAGCAUUGAAGUCUGAAGUAUUAUUUGUCAUAUUUUUGUGGAUAGGUUUUAUACUUUUAUACUCAAUUAGUUUCCCUAAAUUUUGAUAUGUUGAGUGCAAACAGAUGAUAAUUACUACAAAAAAAUUGACACCAUAAACAUAAAAGCUAUGGCAAAUAUGAAUUUGAUAAAUUGAAUUCGCCUAUCUAAUACCUCGUACGAUUAAUAAAUUAAUAUAAAACACCUCUGG